GGGUCAGUAGGUUGGUCGUGCCACCGGUACGUACUGGUCUCACUGAUUCCUCCUUCCUGAAGAACCGUAAUGCCAUUAAUUUGGUGUUGCGGGGAAACAGGACUGUUACUUUGAAAAAAUUAAAGUGUUUAAAGCAAGCUAACGCUUGAAUACAUUAGCAUGGAAUAAUGAAAUAGGACGAUCGAUCCUAUUUUGUUGGUUUCUAGGAUUGACGUA
rnacentral:rRNA from 1 species